GUUCAUUUUACGCCGAUUCGAUUUGCGCCGGCUUUUGUAGGAACGGAACUGCGGCGUAAACAGAGGGCUACCUGUACUGUGUACUCGAAUUACAAAGUAAAAAUGAUACAGAUAGUAGAAGAGCCUAAGAGAAAUGUGUUUAGAUACGGAAUAUGUAGUCGGAGAUGCCCAUUUAAAGCUUACGAAAUCUUGGAAGUACUGUAUAGUAUUCAGAUAACGUGAUCCAAACGGAAAUACGGCAACAAAAAUUUAAAUGUAAUGUGUGUAUUUUGAUGUAGUAUUUAUUUUAUCGAUAAAUUAUUUCAUGAAGUGUUAUUGUUUAUAAAUAAGCGGUUUUUUUAUUAUAAACAUGCAAUUAACGUGAAAAAAACGCACUAUUAAUAAUUAAGACAAGGAGGGGGCUGACGAUAUUGCAUGGCGCGAAAUAGUUAUUAUUAUUUUUUUUUUUAUAGCUUUCACAUCAUUUUCAUAUUUUGACUGAAAAAGUAAAAUGUAAUUCACUAAACUUUAAUUAUUAAUAUACAAUAAGAUUAAACGUAUUGUUGUACAUAAAAUAAAUAUUAGAAUUACAAUAUGGACGUGAAUAAAUCAAACGUACAGUAAUAAAUCUGUAAACUACUUUAUAUAUUACAAGCUGUUGGACCCGCCGAAGGAAUGACAGGUUUUAGCCUUGAACAUUCGUGGGAUUAGGAUAAGGAUGGGUAGACGGUGGAUUUUUCCCGAUCUCAGCUAACUCGGAAACUUCGAAACAAAUAAAGAUUUAUUGAAGGAGGUAAAAAGAGACGGUUUUACAAAUUCAAUUUACGUGAUGAUUAAUACAAGAAAAGGACAAUCACUGAUGCUUAUAGUUAAAAGUCCCAAUCUUUAGUGCAAUUUCAAAAAUGGAAAUCCUGCAAGUUUUCAACACUUUGUAGAGACGUUUCUUCUUUGUCCGACUGUUAUAAUCUUCAAACAUUUUCACAAUGUUCGUAGAUAAAAAAGAACCGUUCUUCUUUUAGUUGCGUUUUUUUUAUAAUGCCUCUGUAGAUUCAUCUUUUUCACUUCCUGUUCUGUCGAUCCCCAGUACACGUCUCUUUAGCGCGUUUUAUCCGUGUCAACAUCUCCGAGCAACUCCUUCGAAUGUCUUGUGCUACUCCUUUAACUCCCAGGGAGUUUUCUCCUUCCUUUUCGAGAAAAGAUAAACAAUUACAUUUUUGUUUUGUUUAUCAUCUAUUGACUAUUUUCAUUCUUACCGUAUCGUCUCCGAUAUCAUAUCUUAUCUUUAUUGUUAUAAGAGAAAAAUCUUCGUGCAAGAUUAUUUUCUCUCCAACUUAUCUCACUUUUCCCGACAUAAAUUUAUUAUCAGAUAAUAUAUAUGUGGCUAUAUGUAUAUAUUUACAAAACAUUAUAUAAGUUUUUUCGAAGUCCCGGGGACUUUAAAUUACCUUCCUGUUUCUAAAAUGAUCUACUGUGUAGAUUAAUUUUUCUUUAUUACAUUUAAUUGUCUUAUGGUCUUAUGGAUCUUAAAUUCGGUUAACAAUACAAGUAAUAAUUAACAAUAACACUUUACCGUUUUAUCCUCAAACAUAAACUCUUCAUGAGUUACAAGAACUCUCUCUUUUUAAGCGAAGGCACGCGAUGUGAUCCUGUUUUGUUGUGGUGCAACGCGAAGUAUUGUAAUGAGUACGACACAAGUAAAAUGCUUGGAUAUUAUUAUUUAUUAAAAAAAGGAAUAAAAACAAUCUAAAAAUCUAUCUAUAUAUUUUUAAUCUUAGAAAAUUAAAUUUAAUAAAAUUAUAAUGAUUAGGGGAAAGUCUCCUAUAUUGUACCGGCUCCUUAAUUGUACCAAACUGUUAUCUCCUAAAUGGUUAACGUGAUGACGUCGUCACAUAGCUGGUAUACGCGCCUGAGUGACAUAGGAUGACACACCAAAUGACGACAAGCUACAAGUUUUGGCUCGUCUGUGGUAGUCGAAUUUGUGUUUCCUUCGAUUUGAAUGUAAAUUUCGUCAAAGACACAACAUC
rnacentral:lncRNA from 1 species